CAGCCGCCGCGGUAAUACGGAGGGUGCAAGCGUUAAUCGGAAUUACUGGGCGUAAAGCGUGCGUAGGCGGUUCGUUAAGUCUGUUGUGAAAGCCCCGGGCUCAACCUGGGAAUGGCAAUGGAUACUGGCGAGCUAGAGUGUGUCAGAGGAUGGUGGAAUUCCCGGUGUAGCGGUGAAAUGCGUAGAGAUCGGGAGGAACAUCAGUGGCGAAGGCGGCCAUCUGGGACAACACUGACGCUGAGGCACGAAAGCGUGGGGAGCAAACAGGAUUAGAUACCCGCGUAGUCCCUGUCUCUUAUAC
rnacentral:rRNA from 1 species